rnacentral:misc_RNA from 1 species
AGCAGCCGCGGUAAUUCCAGCUCCAAUAGCGUAUAUUAAAGUUGUUGCAGUUAAAAAGCUCGUAGUUGAAUUUCGGGAUCAAUAUAUCGGUCGUGCCUUGGUACGUACUGGUAUCAUUGGUUUCUCCUUUCUGACGAACCAUGAUGUCAUUAAUUUGGUGUUAUGGGAAGUUAGGACUGUUACUUUGAAAAAUUAGAGUGUUUAAAGCAGGCUUUAGCUUGAAUACAUUAGCAUGGAAUAAUGAAAUAGGACGUUCGAACCUAUUUUGUUGGUUUCUAGGAUCAACGUAAUGAUUAAUAGGGAUAGUUGGGGGCAUUAGUAUUCAAUUGUCAGAGGUGAAAUUCUUGGAUUUAUUGAAGACUAACUACUGCGAAAGCAUUUGCCAAGGAUGUUUUCAUUAAUCAAGAACGAAAGUUAGGGGAUCGAAGACGAUCAGAUACCGUCGUAGUCUUAACCAUAAACUAUGCCGACUAGGGAUCGGAUGAUGUUAAUUUUUUAAUGUACUCAUUCGGCGCCUUAC